UCGCCUAAGGAGUGGGCGUCCGGCGGAAACUACAGGACUUGGGACCGGAAGACUUGAGGGGUACGUCUGGGGUAGGAGUGAAAUCCUGUAAUCCUGGACGGACCGCCGAUAGCGAAAGCACCUCAAGACGACGGAUCCGACAGUGAGGGACGAAAGCUAGGGUCUCGAACCGGAUUAGAUACCCGGGUAGUCCUAGCUGU
rnacentral:rRNA from 1 species